rnacentral:rRNA from 1 species
CCCUAUGGGGUGCAUACAGGAGAAGAAUGGUCGCUUAUCCCGAUCGACGGUUUCUUUUACAAUAAUACCGAUAACCUCAUUGUCACAGUGAUCGAAAAGAAACAAGGGUAUUCCUCCUCCGAUGAUCAGUUUUGCAGUACCGUCAAUACCUUACCUCAGAACCUUUGUAUAGGGGCCCAAAAUGACCAGACCCCUUAUGAUCCGAACAGCCUCCCCGCCGGAAACCAAUAUCCCAACCGGGCUAACCUCAAACUAUGGUUCGGAGAGAUGCCUUCUACCCCGGCAGUCAGGACCACACCGGUAUCCCUCGAUUUCGGACAAGUCGAGGCAUCCUUAGGUAAAAUCAUGAAUGUGGAAGUGAUGAAUAUUGGCGGGAGAGC